UCCCUGGAGGACUAGUGGUUAGGCCUCUCCACUCUCGCCGCCCCGGCCGGAGUUCGAUUCCCAGCCAGGGAA